UAGGGAAUCUUCCACAAUGGACGCAAGUCUGAUGGAGCGACGCCGCGUGAGUGAAGAAGGUCUUCGGAUCGUAAAACUCUGUUGUUAGAGAAGAACACGAGUGAGAGUAACUGUUCAUUCGAUGACGGUAUCUAACCAGCAAGUCACGGCUAACUACGUGCCGG
rnacentral:rRNA from 1 species